rnacentral:rRNA from 1 species
UCCGUAGGCGGUCUUAUAAGUCAGUGGUGAAAGCCCAUCGCUCAACGAUUGCAGUGCCAUUGAUACUGGUAGACUUGAGUGUGAUUGAGGUAGCUGGAAUGGAUAGUGUAGCGGUGAAAUGCAUAGAUAUUAUCCAGAACACCGAUUGCGAAGGCAGGUUACUAAGUCAUAACUGACGCUGAGGCACGAAAGUGUGGGGAUCAAACAGGAUUAGAUACCCCUGUA